UAAGGAAUAUUGGUCAAUGGACGCAAGUCUGAACCAGCCAUGCCGCGUGGAGGAUGAAGGCCCUCUGGGUUGUAAACUUCUUUUAUAUGGGACGAAAAAGGGUCUUUCUAGAUCAACUGACGGUACCAUGUGAAUAAGCACCGGCUAACUCCGUGCCAGCAGCCGCGGUAAUACGGAGGGUGCAAGCGUUAUCCGGAUUCACUGGGGCUAAAGGGAGCGUAGGUGGGUUGGUAAGUCAGUGGUGAAAUCUCCGAGCUUAACUUGGAAACUGCCAUUGAUACUAUCAGACUUGAGUAUUGUGGAGAUCAGCGGAAUAUAUCAUGUAGCGGUGAAAUGCUUAGUUAUAACCUAUAACACCAAUGGCGAAAGGAGCUGGCUACGCAUAUAUUGACACUGAGGCACGAGAGCGUGGGGAAAAAACA
rnacentral:rRNA from 1 species